CACGAGGGUCUCACUGUCUUAAGGAAAUUUCCAGUGAAAUUGAAUUUGUAGUGAAGAUGCUACAUCCAAAUUGUUAGACAAGAAGUCCCCAUGGAACUUUACUGGAGACUUAUGUGGCUUAAAUUAAUUUAUUUCUUACAAAUAAAUAGUUUUAAAAUGUGGUGUUAACCCCUCGGAUUAACUAGGGUUAUAAAAGCUCACUCUUUUAUUUAAAGAAAGCCAACUCAAAAAGUUAUGUCUUUGGGAUUUGAUAAGUGGGACAGUUUGGUUGGGGCGACCGCCUUUAAAAAAGUAACGAAGGCGGGCUUAAGAUACAUAUUUAGUGAUGUCUGACUGCCAAGGGGAGAUCCUGAGCAGACACUUACUUUUAGGUGGGUUUAAGUGACCCGUUGAUUUAGGGUGAAAUAGUUAACGAUAAACA
rnacentral:rRNA from 1 species